GGUUUUAGUACGCCAUUGCAGUUCUGGUUCGUUUUCUAUUUAUAGGCUUGACGCAAGUGUAAUUUGUAGUGUUAAGUGUUAAUAUUUAUAAUUAUAAAGUUUAGCAAUGACGUAGAUUCUAAAUAAGAGAGAGCUAUAAGUUUUGGUUUGAAUCAUUUGUUAGGAUAACGAGUUAUAUUAAUAGAUUAAGAUAGAAUCAAACUUGAAGUUUCAAAAUGAAGACUACAUUGACUAUGCUGUUUAUCAUUUUGAGUUUUUGUUUCAUUAAUCAAGUUCUGUCAAUGACCUGCACUAAGGAGGUUCUUGGAUUUACCACCAGCAUCCAUUGUCCAGGAAUAGGAGAUAGUGCAGAAAAGGUUUAUUGCUGUGGUUCUGAAGAGUACCGUUACUGCUGUACAUCUGAAGAUUUUAGUGCUGAAGUUAAUGUGGUUGGGUUAAUUGUGGGUAUCCUUGUCUCUGUGGUUGUUGUUGUCAUCAUCAGUGUGAUCAUUUGCUGCUGCUGCUGUAGUUGUUGUCUCUUGGCAAAAAGACGUCAACAAGGAAUUGUUCUAUCAACUUCCCCCAAUCUUCUUGGAACUACUACUACAACUACCGCUGUUACUUACCCAGUUCAGCCACCAUACCCUACGAAUCAGCCACAGUAUCCUCCUACUAGUGGGUAUCCUGUGUAUCCUCCUGCUAACACAGGUUAUCCACCUGCCAACACAGGUUAUCCACCUGCCAACACUGGCAAUCCCCCUCCAUAUCCAGGUGCUGCACAACCACCAUACAAUAAAGGAUACUGAAAGAUAACUUAAAAGACUUCUUCACUGGGAGAUUAUGAAAUUAUGGUUUUUGUUUUUAUCGAUGUCAUGUGUUUUCAUCUCCAAAAGGUCAGCAGUAGAACGUUAAAGAAUUAAACCAUGAAAAAAAAUUAGAGAGAAGAAUUUUUUCAUCACAUCCAAGAGGCCUACUUUGAAUUGUAACCAGAGUCUGACUGUCAUCAGAAUGUUUAUUUUGCCUCAUAUAAUAUACACGUGAUCUUCUAAGUACUUCAGUAAGGUUAUGCCAAUAAGAUAUCAGUUGUUAUCAAGGAUUUGUAGUUUAUAUAUCAUACAUCUAGGUUGCUAAGUUUCAAGACAUCCCUGAAGAUGGCAGCAGACUAGCAGCCAAAACAUGGGAUAUAAAUUAAUUAGUAAUUAGUAUCUUAUAGUAAAUAAAAACAACAACAAAAAGAACAAGUAAUAAACGAAUAAUGAUACUGAGGUGAUCAUAUAUACUACUAACCCUAACAAUUUAUGAUUUGUUUCAGUUCUAUUCUCUAACAGGAUUAAUAAACAUUGUAGCACUUAUUUAGUGCAGGUACAUGAAUAUGAUUGAAGUUUCUUGGAGGAGAAAAUAAUCUUAAUGGAUCUACUAAUUAUUGGAUAAUAAUUAUCAAUGUAUUUCAACUAGAAAGUGAAACUGAAGGAAAUGUUUACUAAGUUACUUUUGAUAAUGCUUUCAACUUUUCAUCAAACUAUCAUAGAAAACAAAGUACGUGAUGGAAGAGAAUAUUCACAAGUGUCAUAUUCUAUUAAAUUGUUUAAAGAAAUGUAUCUCAUGCUUUCACAUAUUUGAUAUUGUUUUUGUUAUGUCAGAAGACACUUCAAAUCUCUUGUAACAUAGUAGCACAUUUUAUUCAAGACCAACCUUCCAUUGCAUCUUAUAUAUAAACUAACAUUUUGAUAUAUUAUGUGAAACAGUUACUUUGAAAGGCAUUAAACACUAGUCAUAACUACAAUCACUAUCGUUACUUUUUUACCAAGGUAAAAAUGUUGUUCUAGAUCUGAUUGGUGAUAAGCCAGUUUGGUUGUAUGGAUAGUUUUCUUUCAUAUGAUGAAUUAGUAGAGGGAAAAAUUCAGGUAGCCUUGUGAGAAAGGAAUGUUGAUAAAUAUGCAUUAACUGAAGAAGGCUAGGUUCAUGUUUGCAUUAGUUUCAGGUUUUUGUGAUUUGAUUAGUUUUAUGUUUUUUUUUCCAAAUGUGGCUUGUUAGGGUUUCAUCAUCAUUGGGCUUGAUAUUAAAUAAAAUUUCCAAAAAUAAUAUUGUGAAAGAGUAGAAAAUAACUUGAUUUUAAGUUUUCAUUUGUGAAUUUCCUUCAUGUAUGUGAUUCUAAAGAACUUAAUUUAAAAAAAGAACAUUGAGAUAUAGAUAGAAGCACCUUUUCAUUUAAAUAAGAGUAUCGUUAAAGUCAGUUUAAAGAAACGGGAUGUGUGAACAGUUGAUAAUGAUUUAAGAUUGCAUUGUUUAUAUUUCCCACUUCUUUUUAUUUGUAAGAGCAUGAGAACACACAAAAAAAUACAUGAAGUCAGUGUAGAAAAUGGUAAAAAAAAACUUUUCGUAAUAUUCAAAUAUUAGAGAAUUCUGAAAUCUUCUAAAAUUUAAUAUAUACCUUAACUUUUUUGAUCAUCUAUACAAAAAAAAUUGUUAUUAGUUACUGGGUUGUGUUUUAAUGGGUAAUAACCCUGUUGAUGUAAUGACAACAAACAACUUCACAUGGAAAGAAAAUGUCCGUCUGCCAUAGCAAAUGAACCCAGAGAUGAUUUUUAUGUGAAAAACAAAGUUAGUAGUACUAAAAUACAUUUUAAAUCUGGACUUCCUUACUUGAGGAUGACUAAGUUGUCUUAUGGAAACCAUGAAGAUUUAUUGACUGCUUUUAGUUGAGGUUAUUGAUUUAUUUCCUAAGCAAUACAUAUUUUCACUUUAAGGUGCUAGUAGCAUAUUUGAGAAGAUUUUUCAGUACAUUUUCUUAGAGAACAGAAAUGGGCAGAAAAUAACUAAAAAUUGACAAGAGAAACAAAUCUAGUUAUAUACUUCAGUUAGAUGAUUAUGUUAGACUGGUCAUAAAAUAACAUCCUAAAACUUUGACUAAUUUGACUUCUUAUUAAGUAUUAAUCAUUGAUAAGUUAGAAAAUAUCUAAAUUUUAGCAGAGUUUUAAGAAAUUUAGCCACAGCAUUCGAUACCUAUUAAAGAAUAGUCUAAGAUUGAAACAAGCUAUGUAUGUAAAGCUAUGUUGUUUCUUCCCAGUUUCAUGCAAUUUUUCAUAAUGUCCAAUAGAAAUAAUUAGAUUUCAGGUACUUUUGUUAAUUUUGAGAAAGUUUGCCACAGCAUGUGAUACUUCUUAAUAAACAGCUUAAGAUAGAAACAAGCUUAGAUUAUUGUACCUAAAAUGAUAUAGUUUGAUCAAAGUGUCAUGCAGUUUUUCUUUGUACACUUGAAGUGUCUUGCAUCAUGUAAUUAUUGUAUUUCAACACCUUUAACAAAGGGAGACUGUCAAGAUUAGUGAAAAGUCGGUAUCAGAGUUAGUAGUAUCUCACUUAAAUACAUAAAUUCAAUGCUUUUGACACCAAUUUCAGAUCAGUGGGGACAACACAAACAAAAUGGUGAACACUGACAUUGUGUUCAGGUGUUGUGAACAAAGAAAAAAAAAAAAAUUGUAUGAUUUUUUUUUUUUCUUGUUACAUAUUAUAUAAUGUUUGAAAUUAGUUUCAUCUAGGGAUACCUUUGGUGUCAUAAAGGUCAUUUUGAUCUUUGUUAUUGUGCUUGUCUUGGUCUUUUGUUUUUCAAUGUUUCUUAUAAUUAUAAAUAAUAUGAAACAAAUAUAAUAAAUGAUACUGUAAUAAUAAGAACAAUUUAAAAAGAAUCAUAAUGGUCAUGAAAUUCUCUUGUAGUUAGUGGUCAAACAAGCUGGUUUAUAUAUUUUUCAUUUUGGUAUGCACAAAAGCACCCCUGGACAAAAUUGUAAAUGCCCACCAAUUGUUUAUGCUGAUCCCAUUGACCUAAAACUGAUGCUAAAAAUGAAAUGAUAAUUCUGAUACUGAUUUUUUGGUAAUUGACCUUUCCCAAGCAUUUGAUGUUUUUGAUUAUGGCAAUUUUUUACCUUGGGAAAAGUAGUAUAGUCACUUGAAGCAACUCGGAUACUAUACAUUAUUGUUGUUGUCAUUUCUGAAUUAAUAUUUUAUACAAAAUGUUUGCAUGUAUUGGAAGUUGUUUUGUACCUCCUGGGGAUUUUUUUUAAGAAUUUAUAUUUGCUGAUUUGCUGGAAAUCUGUUUAGAUAGUGAAUAUGUUCUUGACAUUCAUUAACUAGCAUACAUAAUUUCUAUUAUCAGCUAUCUUAGAAGGUGUUUUACAGCUUGUUUUUUUAUUUUUUCUCAAGUACAUGUAUUUUGUUAAUUUUUUUCUUUCUGUUUUACUUUAUCAUAGUUACUUAUGAAAAUGGUGUUAUGACAUUUUUCUAUAUGGUAAUGCUCAUCUAAAGUAUAUAAUGAUAUUGUACAUUUUCUACUGUUUGUAACUUUAACAUGCUUGAUAAUAGUCUAUUAAAACUAUAAAGUACAUGCUUUUUGCAGUUAAAUGUUUAGUACAAGGAAUCUCAUUUAGGUUUGGUGAUGUAGAUGACUUUUUAUGAAUAAAAUGUUUCACUUAA
rnacentral:misc_RNA from 1 species